GUCGCGGUGGCUUAGUGGUUAAGCGCUCGGCUUUAAAACCUGGGGUCCUGGGUUCAAAUCUCGGUGAAGACU
rnacentral:tRNA from 1 species